rnacentral:rRNA from 1 species
GAUGAACGCUGGCGGCGUGCUUAACACAUGCAAGUCGAACGAUGAAGCCCAGCUUGCUGGGUGGAUUAGUGGCGAACGGGUGAGUAACACGUGAGUAACCUGCCCUUAACUCUGGGAUAAGCCUGGGAAACUGGGUCUAAUACCGGAUAGGAGCGCCUACCGCAUGGUGGGUGUUGGAAAGAUUUAUCGGUUUUGGAUGGACUCGCGGCCUAUCAGCUUGUUGGUGAGGUAAUGGCUCACCAAGGCGACGACGGGUAGCCGGCCUGAGAGGGUGACCGGCCACACUGGGACUGAGACACGGCUCAGACUCCUACGGGAGGCAGCAGUGGGGAAUAUUGCACAAUGGGCGAAAGCCUGAUGCAGCGACGCCGCGUGAGGGAUGACGGCCUUCGGGUUGUAAACCUCUUUCAGUAGGGAAGAAGCGAAAGUGACGGUACCUGCAGAAGAAGCACCGGCUAACUACGUG